CAGAGUAGAAAUGAGGACUUCUAAAGUAAAAAAAGUGUUGUUUUGAUGAUAGCAUGAGUUUCAUGUUCUCGCAUUUCUAAGUGAUAAUCAAAUAUACCAAUUUUCAUCAUAAAGAUCCAAAAUACAGAACUAUUUUUCAACUUCGACAAGAGUGUGCUAAUAAGAAGACAUUGUCAAAUGCAUGGAAACCAGCAGCCUCAAAGGAGGACAAGGAAAAUGACAGUGAUCACAAGCUUGCCAGCCCCCAUUGGCCACGACCGAUCACCUGUGUUACCCUUCAGCCCUCUAAGGAAAGGGGAGUGGCUUCUCCCCUGAAAAUGACGAUCGAGUAGCUGCAGAGAGGGAGAGAGACAUCACAGAAACCAGCUAGGGCCCCCAGGGCUGGCAGAGUGAUGCUGCCAUGGGCCCCUGGCUCCUGGGCUGUGUCCUGCUUUGUCUCCUGGGAGCAGACCCCCUGGAAGCCGAUGUGACCCAGAGCCCGAGACACCAGAUCACAGAGACGAGAAAGCGGGUGACAUUGACUUGUUCUCAGAAUAUGCAACACGAUGCUAUGUACUGGUAUCGACAAGACCCAGGGCUGGGUCUAAGGCUGAUCUAUUUUUCAAGGAAUAUUGACUUGGUUGAAAAGGGAGAUGUCCCCAAUGGAUACAUUGUCUCUCGAGAAAAGAACCCAGAUUUCCCCCUGACCCUGGCAUCGGCCAGCACCAACCAGACCUCUUUAUACCUCUGUGCCAGCAGUUUAUCCACAGCACGGCACAGUCAGCUGCUCUCUGCACAAAAAGGGCAGCCACAAGAGCAGGGAGGCUCCUCCCUCCGGAGGCCCCACCCAACCAAGAAGACAAACUUCCCCCGCCAUCAGUGCCCACAGGAGUCCUUCCCUGACUCUCCAACUCUGUGGACUCCGGUCAAGGCAGCCCCUCUGCAAUGUGUCCUCCUCUCACUUCUGGUAACAGUGAGCUUUUCAAAGCGCAGGCAGGACAAGCUACCUGUGUUAAGUCUAGCACCAUGA